GGUUCUAUGGUCUAAUGUUUUGAGCAAUGGACUACAACUCUGGGGGUCAGGGUUUGAUUCCCUGCUGAGCCA